rnacentral:pre_miRNA from 1 species
GUAGUAUUCCCUCCGUCCCAAAAUUAUUGUCUUACAUUUGUUUAGAUACAGAUGUAUCUAACACUAAAAUGUAACUAGAUACAUCCAUAUUUAGACAAAUUUAAGACAAGAAUUUUGGGACGGAGGGAGUACAAA